AAGAAAAUAGGUUAUAAGCGAAUGGUGGAUGCCUCGGGAUAUUAAAGUGAUGAAAGACGUGGCGUGCCUGCGAUAAGCAUCGGGGAGCUGGCUAGCAAGCUUUGAUCCGGUGAUUUCUGAAUGAGGAAACUCUAUUGCGGUAAUACGUAAUAAUCCAUAUAGUAAUAUAUGGAAGCUAACCCGCCGAAGUGAAACAUCUCAGUAAGCGGAGGAAAAUAAAACAAUGAAAUAUUCUAUUUACUCUGUCCUGCAAAGGACAAAGUGAUUAGAGUGUUUUACAUUCCCUUAGUAGUGGCGAGCGAAAAGGGAGCAGCCCAAACCAGAAUUUAUUCUGGGGUUGUAAGGGUUUAACGUCGGGAGCAUUAUUUAUUUCUCCAAUGCUGGAGCAAUAAAUAUUGUUUGACCGAGGGAGAGCAAAAAGUAAGUAGUUAAAAGAAGUACCCUGGAAAGGGACGCCAUAGAGGGUAAUAGCCCCGUAUUCUAAAAUUAUAUUACGCUCCUUGUUAGAUUUCUUGAGUACUGUCGGGCAUGAUUACCUGGCAGGAAACAGGCCGAACUAUCGGCCAAGGCUAAAUAUUUAAUAUCACCAAUAGUGAACCAGUACCGUGAGGGAAAGGUGAAAAGUAGGGGGAUGACCCCGGUGAAAUAGAACCUGAAACCAUUUGCUUACAAAGAGUAGGAGCCUCGCAAGGGGUGACUGCGUGCUUUUUGCAGAACGAGCCAACGAGUUUGACUAUCCAGUCGCCUAAGCCCCUACGGGGUGGAGGCAUAGCGAAAGCGAGUGUGAAUAGCGCGAAAUAUGAUUGGAUGUUCAAGACCCGAAGCGUGACGAGCUUACCAUGAGCAGGAUGAACCCCGCGUAAAAGUGGGGGGAGGUCCGAACCCGUGAGUCGUGCAAUCCUCUGGGAUGACUUGUGGUAAGGAGUGAAAAGCUAAUCGAGUUACGUAAUAGCUGGUUCUUCCCGAAACAGCUUUAGGGCUGGCGUCUUGGGCGGAAUGUGGGGGUAGAGCACUAAAUAGAAAUUCUUGGAGUUUACUCCAGAUUUUCUAAUUAAACUCCGAAUACCAUAUUCUUAAGCCAAGGCAGUUAGACAGUGGGGGCUAAGCUCCAUUGUCAAAAGAGUAACAGCUCAGAUCGUCGUCUAAGGUCCCUAAAUUAAACUAAGUGUUAUAAAGGAGGUUUUUCGCCCUCGACAGGCAGGAAGUUAGCUUAGAGGUAGCUAUCUUUUAAAGAGUGUGUAACAACUCACUGCCCAAACUUUGUUCUUUUGAACAGAGAGGGGUGAUUAGCGCCAAAGAUUCCCGGGACUAAAGUUUAAUACCGAAGACACGGAUACUUUUGUAAUUUAUUACAGAGGCAUGGUAGGGAAGCGUUCUGUACGCAUUGAAGCAGGAGGGUAACCGACUGUGGAGUGUACAGAAGUGAGAAUGUUGGCCUGAGUAACCGCAAUGUAUGUGAAAGCCAUACACACUGAAAGUCCAAGGUUUCCUUGGCAAUGGUAUUCAACCAAGGGUUAGUCGGUCCUAAGGAGAAGCCGAAAGGCGUACCCGAUGGUCAGUUAGUUAAUAUUCUAACACUUGGAUACUUUUUUAAUACGUUGCACAAUGUAGUAAUGUUAGCCCAUUAAUGGAUUUGGGUUCCCGGUCUCCGGCGUAAGCUAAAGACAAGGAAGAUGUGGCCGCAGGGUCAUAAAUUGAUGUGAGCGCGUUGUCUAGAAAAGGCGUAUUGAGCCAAGAGUAUUCAAACCGUACCGCAAACCGACACAGGUGGACAAGCGUAAGUAUGCUAAAGUGAACGGGUGAGACCUCGUUAAGGAACUAGGCAAAUUAGUGGCCGUAAGUUCGCAAUAUGGCCUGCCCAGGUCCGCAAGGAUACUGGGCUGCAACAACCGUACUUCAACCGACUGUUUAUCAAAAACACAGCUCCCUGCUAACUCGCAAGAGGAUGUAUAGGGGGUGAGGCCUGACCAGUGCUGGAAUGUUAAGUUUGGGAGUGAUAGUCGCAAGAUUAUUGCCCACUGAAUGAAGCACCAGUGAACGUCGGCGAUAACUAUAAUCGUCCAAAGGUAGCGUAAUCCCUUGCCGGGUAAGUUCCGGCCCGCAUGAAUGGCUUAACGAGUUGAAGACUGUCUCAACGAGGCGCCCGGUGAAAAUGCAAUACCAGUGAAGAUGCUGGUUACCUGCGGCUAGACGGAAAGACCCCGGAAGCUUUACUAUAGUUAGAUAUUGAAUUUUAAUUUUUGAUGCGUAGCGUAGUGGUGAGCCUAUGAAAUGCUAAUUUCGGUUAGUGUGGAGGCGACGAUGAAACAGCCAUCUUUAAAAAUUAAUAUUCUAAUCUCCUUAACUGGAGUGACAGUGUUUAAUGGGUAGUUUAAGUGGGGCACUUGCCUCCUAAAGAGUAAUGGAGGCGUUUAAAGGUUGGCUAGAUUCGGAUGGAAAUCGAAUCGAUAGGGCAAAGCCAUAAGCCAGCUUUACUGCAAGACGGCUAUGUCGCGCAGUUGCGAAAGCAGAACUUAGUGAACCGACUCAUUUUCAUAGAAAAUGAGAAGAUCAUCAGCCAAAAGCUACUCCGGGGAUAACAGGCUAGUAGAGCCCGAGCGUCCACAGCGACGGCUCUGUUCGGCACCUUAAAUUCGGGGUGCAAGAGUAGAAAUACUCUUCCAAAAAUAUGGCUUAUAACGGUGGAGUUGUACUUAAUUUAGUGGUAAAAUUAACAUAUAAAUUAAGCAAUAAUACCGUGGGAAGUUGUGUAAUAAUUAUAAAAAUGAUAAAAUUUAAGUCAGAAAGGUCUGAUUAUUAAAUUUUAAUCAUCUAAAAAUAUGCCUGAAAAUAAUAGAUGGGAAGAUCUAAGUCCUAAACCAGAAAGUGAAUGGAAAGAAGAAUUAACAAACAUUGACAUAGAAACUCUCGUUGAGCUUAUAGAUAAAGGAAUCCAACAGCAAAUAGUUUCUCCUGGUCCGUUAAAAGAGAUCAAGAAAAAAUUAUUAAGCAUGAUGGAAAAGUAAAAUUAUUACAUUAACCCCGUAGAGACUUGACCUUAACUGGUCGGAGUCCUUCAUUUUUGAAGGGCUAACACGCCAUCUCCUCCCUGCAAAAUGCAGAAGGAUGAAGAUAUAGUCCGAUCCUCUUUGUAAAAAGAGAAAAAUUACCGACAGCGAUGUCGGCUCAACACAUCCUGGGGGUGAAGCAGCUCCCAAGGGUUCGGCUGUUCGCCGAUUAAAGUGUUACGUGAGCUGGGUUCAAAC
rnacentral:rRNA from 1 species